rnacentral:rRNA from 1 species
GACGUAGGGCGCGAGCGUUGUCCGGAUUUAUUGGGCGUCAAGAGCUCGUAGGCGGCUUGUUGCGUCGACCGUGAAAACCCGCGGCUUAACUGUGGGCUUGCGGUCGAUACGGGCGGGCUGGAGUUCGGUAGGGGAGACUGGAAUUCCUGGUGUAGCGGUGAAAUGCGCAGAUAUCAGGAGGAACACCGGUGGCGAAGGCGGGUCUCUGGGCCGAUACUGACGCUGAGGAGCGAAAGCGUGGGGAGCGAACAGG